UAGGGAAUCUUCCACAAUGGGUGCAAACCUGAUGGAGCAAUGCCGCGUGAGUGAAGAAGGUCUUCGGAUCGUAAAGCUCUGUUGUUAGAGAAGAACACGUGCUAGGUAACUACUAGCGCCUUGACGGUAUCUAACCAGAAAGUCACGGCUAACUACGUGCCAGCAGCCGCGGUAAUACGUAGGUGACAAGCGUUGUCCGGAUUUAUUGGGCGUAAAGGGAGCGCAGGCGGUCUGUUUAGUCUAAUGUGAAAGCCCACGGCUUAACCGUGGAACGGCAUUGGAGACUGACAGACUUGAAUGUAGAAGAGGAAAAUGGAAUUCCAAGUGUAGCGGUGGAAUGCGUAGAUAUUUGGAGGAACACCAGUGGCGAAGGCGAUUUUCUGGUCUAACAUUGACGCUGAGGCUCGAAAGCGUGGGGAGCGAACAGGAUUAGAUACCCUGGUAGUCCACGCCGUAAACGAUGAGUGCUAAGUGUUGGGGGCUUUCCGGCCCUCGGUGCUGGAGCUAACGUAUUAAGCACUCCGCCUGGGGAUUACGACCGCAAGGUUG
rnacentral:rRNA from 1 species